rnacentral:lncRNA from 1 species
GUGUUAUCUGAUUCAUACUUUAACCAGCUCUAGGAAGUCACAGAAUCAUUCUGUCACUGUCCUCAUGUUACUGAAUACUGAUGUAUGUGAAGAAUACUGAUGUGCAGCUGGGCAUGGUGGUGCAUGCCUGUAAUAUCAGCCCUCCAGAGGCUGAGGCAGGAGAAUGGCAGUAAAGUUGAGGCCAGCUUGGGCUACAUAGUGGGUUCAAGGCCAGCCUGAACUACUAUAUAGUGAGAUCCUGUCUCAAAAUUAUAUAUAUAUAUAUACAUAUACAUACAUAUAUAUAUAUAUAUAUAUGUGCAGAAGGCUAAGGUAACUUAACUGAGAUCACAGAGCUAGGAAGUAAUGGCUGGGGUCUGGACCUGGAACCUGAUUCCAAAGUUCUGACAGUUCACCAGCACAUAGAAUUGCUUCUAGAGAGGUUUGUUCUGUUUAUCCAGGGAGAGACUGGCAAUUAUGGUCUCCCUCUGCUUUCAAGCAAGCAUUAGGAGACUGUCCUGGCUGUCUGGCUUCCUGGUCUUGUAUCUACUUUUUAAAUGAUUAUUUUAUUUACAUAUUCUUGGGUCAUGGCUGCCUGUAGCUCAGUUUCACAGGAUGGGAGAGAAUAUCCAUGAUAAUAAAUUUUCCAUCUGCCUUUCUCCAAAUGCCCUCCCUGCCCGAACCCUGUUAAAUUUUAGCAUAUUUCCCAGAGGUGGUCUUCAUGUUUAAAACUUAGAAAAAAUCCCUUUUUUUUUUUUAGACAGGGUUUAUCUAUGUAGUUCGGGCUGGCCUUGAACUUAUUACUGUAUUUCCCAGAAAAUAACACCAGAAAAUGAGCUCUAGCAUGAUAUUUACAAUGCUUAUAAGCCCUACCCUAAAAAUAAACCCCACUUAAGAUUGUCAGCCAAGAGUAUGGAACAGCAGGAGAAUGGGGAAAAAAUAAGAACCAAGAUACAUCAGGUGCUGGUACAAAUUCCCAAUGAUGAAUGUCAACAUAUUGUAUACCUAAUAACAAUAAACUUAAUGAAAAAAAAAAGAUUGUCAGCCAGAUGGCUGCAUUUAGUUUGUCUGUUGCAACACAUGAUAUAUGUAUUGAAUUGUAAAAUAAUAAUAUUAAUAUAUAAUUAAAUAUAAGUAAAUAGUAUUAUUGACAAUAUUUUAAAUAAACGACAAUAUAAACUAUAAUUUGGGUAUUAGUAAAUGCCCAAGCAGGUGCCUUUGCAGAAGAGGUAAAUUCUUCUGUAAAUAGAUGAACAGGAGACUGAUUGCUGAAUGACCAAUCCAAGUAGAGAUACAAUGCAUGUAUAAUGUACACACUUGAUAACAGACAGAGUUGGUUGUGUCUAAAAUGAAUCUGCAUAAUUCGAUAUGGCAUGUGUUGUAAUGGAUUUGUGUGAAAUAAGGAAACAUUUUCUGAAUUUUUGUACCUGCCAUUUUUUGUCUCUUUUGUGUGGACAAUCAUUCUUAACUGUCAUCAUUUUUGUUGCCACUCCUAUCUCCUAAGUCUUCAAUUAACACUUGAUCUAAUGGAAACUUUGUGAAGCCCACCCUGCAGGAGGUUGAGACUUGGGUGAAGAAGUGAUAGAAUAAAAUUGCUGACAGCUACGUAACCAAUGCAUUAUAAGUGCACCACAUGGACAGAAGCAUUCAUGUUUGAUGUAAAAAUAAAAUGGGCAAGCAGAUGUGAAAGCUGUAAAAUGUGUUGCACCUGAGAAGAAAUAUUCUCCAAUUAGUAGUAAAGAAGACUCUGCCUUGCAGGCAACUGGGGAAAUGCCCACUCCCCUUUUGGGCCCCUCCACUGAAAUCUGGUAAUAAGUCAUAACAGCUCAAUCUUGUUGCUAUAUUUCACAUCCUAAAUUCAAGCUGACCUUCUGAGAAGGAUUGUAAGGUGAAUCAGGUUCAGCCUUGUUGUUUUACAGAUGAAGACUGAGGCCCAAGUUCUCAAGGCUGAGAAGUCCUAGAUCAAGGUGCCAGCAAAUUCAAUGUCCAGUAAGGACCAGUUUUCUGGGUCCUAAAAACCUCUUCUUGCUGCAUCCACAGGAGGUGAAGGGGAUGAGGAGAGCUCUGGUAUUUGUUUUGUAAAGAAACUGAUCCUAAACCCUCAUGACUCAGUUCCAUUUCAAAGGCCCCACCUUCUAAAUCUCAUAUUAGGGGUUGAAAUUUCAACAUAGAAAUUUGGUGAGGGGCAGGACAUGCAGGCAUUCAGUCUGCAAAAGUCAUGAGAGAAAAGCCAGUAAAGUUAGAGACCAAGCUUAAUUCCCAGCUGUGUGACUUGGGCCAAGCCAUAGAAAUUCUCUGAGUCUCAGGUUCUACUGAAAAUGGACUUGCAAGCAUGUAUAUUUAAAGGAUUAAAUUGACCAACAUGUAAAGAACUUAACACAUUAUUUGGCACUGAGUAAAUUUUUAAGGUAUUAGCUCAAAUAUAAGACAGGCAUAAUUAAGUAGGAAAAUAUGUGAUUUAGAGUUGUACAAUUUUUAAAUUUAGAAAAAAAAAGUACAAACUCUCUAAUCCAGUGUUUCUCCAAUAAUGGUCUGUGGAUUGCUGCCAGUUUUUGACAAUUUUUAUUUCCAGUCUGCAGCAAAAUAUAAAAACAGAAAGGCAGUGUAACGGGAAACUAUUCUUUCUUUGGUGUUCAGUGUCACUUUUUUUUUUUGUGUGUGUGUGUGUCACUUUUUCAAUGAGCUAAUGAAAGGCAGGUGG